rnacentral:rRNA from 1 species
CCUACGGGUGGCAGCAGUGAGGAAUAUUGCACAAUGGGGGAAACCCUGAUCCAGCGACGCCGCGUGAGUGAAGAAGGUUUUCGGUGUGUAAAGCUCUAUCAGUCGGGAAGAAAAUGACGGUACCUGCUUAAGAAGCACCGGCGAACUACGUGCCAGCAGCCGCGGUAAUACGAAGGGGGCCAGCGUUAUUCGGAAUUACUGGGCGUAAAGGGAGUGUAGGCGGGAGGACAAGUUUGGGGUGAAAUGCCGGGGAUCAACCCCGGAACUGCUUUGGAAACUGUGCAGCUAGAGUGCAGGAGAGGUAAGUGGAAUGCCUGGUGUAGAGGUGAAAUGCGUAGAUAUUAGGUAGAACACCAGUGGCGAAGGCGGCUUACUGGACUGUAACUGACGCUGAGGCUCGAAAGCGUGGGGAGCAAACAGGAUUAGAUACCCGGGUAGUC